rnacentral:rRNA from 1 species
UACGUAGGGGGCAAGCGUUGUCCGGAUUUAUUGGGCGUAAAGAGCGUGUAGGCGGCCAGACAAGUCUGCUGUGAAAACUCGAGGCUCAACCUCGAGCUGUCGGUGGAAACUGUCUGGCUAGAGUCCGGAAGAGGAGAGUGGAAUUCCUGGUGUAGCGGUGAAAUGCGCAGAUAUCAGGAAGAACACCCGUGGCUAAGGCGGCUCUCUAGUACGUGACUGACGCUGAGACGCGAAAGCGUGGGGAGCGAACAGG